rnacentral:rRNA from 1 species
AAUAUUGGACAAUGGGCGAAAGCCUGAUCCAGCCAUGCCGCGUGUGUGAAUAUGGUCUUCGGUUUGUAAAGCACUUUAAGUUGGGAGGAAUGGCAGUAAGUUACUACCUUGCUGUUUUGACGUUACCGACAGAAUCAGCACCGGCUCACUUCGUGCCAGCAGCCGCGGUAAUACGAAUGGUGCAAGCGUUAAUCGGAAUUACUGGGGGUAAAGCGCGCGUAGGUGGUUAGUUAAGUUGGAAGUGAAAGCCCCGGGCUUAACCUGGGAAUUGCUUUCAAAACUGACGAGCUAGAGUACGGUAGAGGGUAGUGGAAUUACCUGUGUAGCGGUGAAAUGCGUAGAUAUAGGAAGGAACAUCAGUGGCGAAGGCGACUACCUGGACUGAUACUGACACUGAGGUGCGAAAGCGUGGGGAGCAAACAGG